GCCUAGGUGGCUCGGCUGGCUAAGCGUCUGACUUCGGCUCAGGUCAUGAUCUCAGUUUGUGGGUUCGAGCCCCACAUCAGGCU
rnacentral:tRNA from 1 species